rnacentral:rRNA from 1 species
CCUACGGGAGGCAGCAGUGAGGAAUAUUGGUCAAUGGGCGAGAGCCUGAACCAGCCAAGUCGCGUGAGGGAAGACGGUCCUAUGGAUUGUAAACCUCUUUUGUCGGGGAGCAAAAAGGCCUCGUGAGGCCACAAUUGAGAGUACCCGAAGAAAAAGCAUCGGCUAACCCCGUGCCAGCAGCCGCGGUAAUACGGAGGAUGCGAGCGUUAUCCGGAUUUAUUGGGUUUAAAGGGUGCGUAGGCGGACUGGAAAGUCAGCGGUAAAAUCGGGAGGCUCAACCUCUUUCCGCCGUUGAAACUGUGGGUCUUGAGUGGGCGAGGAGUAUGCGGAAUGCGUGGUGUAGCGGUGAAAUGCAUAGAUAUCACGCAGAACUCCGAUUGCGAAGGCAGCAUACCGGAGCCCGACUGACGCUGAGGCACGAAAGCGUGGGUAUCGAACAGGAUUAGAUACCCUUGUAGUC